UUACACAACUUCUGAUACAUAAACUUUCUUCUCUUGAAUUGGCUGCAAGACAUACCAAGGGACAGUCUCCUAUAUUUUUUUACUUAACAAGUCAAAGAAAACUACACAGUAGUCAACAGCAUGGUUUAGUUUGGGAAGCUUUAUCACAGAAACCACUCUCUCAGGCAUACCUGUCAUUAGGAAACGUCACAGCC